AGUGCAAUAAAGAAAGAUGUUAAAACAGAGUCGAGAUAGGGGAAUAAUGUUUAAUUGGCUCUCCAGAGUCCACUAAUUUUCAGAAUUGGAAACCUAGUGUUUGAUUUGUUCUUUUUAGUCAGCAAGAAGAAAAAAUAUCCUUCAUAAAUUCUGAAUGACAAAUUUGCCCAUCCUUUUUUGCAUGUGGUUCCAGCAUCCCAGGGAAUCUAAAGUGUCAUUUCCUCUCUGGAAGAAAGGAAGCACAAAACAUGCUAGGACACAAUUGGAGAAACUGAUUAUUUUACCAAGGCUUUGACUGGAAUGGCAUGCUUCCUUUAAAAAAUUCAAGCUUGACUUAUACAGCCAAUUAAGCCCUGUUGGGGAAUCUGGCCUCAUACCUUGUCCACACAGAGUCCUUGUACAAGGUUCCUGACCUGUGAAAGAAGAAAGAGCUUUAACAGACAUUUGAUAAUGAAUUGUUACUUCUUACACGUUUAUAUAUAAACCCUUGACUGUCAAUGCUAUAAAAGACAAUUCAAAAGGAAGAAAUGCAAUUAUAUUGAAACACCAUUCAAAACAUCACAACAAGAAAUGCAGUCUACUAUAAACUG
rnacentral:lncRNA from 1 species